rnacentral:rRNA from 1 species
UAGGGAAUCUUCCACAAUGGACGCAAGUCUGAUGGAGCAACGCCGCGUGAGUGAAGAAGGCUUUCGGGUCGUAAAACUCUGUUAUUGAAGAAGAACGUGUGUGACAGUAACUGGUCAUGCAGUGACGGUAUUCAAUCAGAAAGUCACGGCUAACUACGUGCCAGCAGCCGCGGUAAUACGUAGGUGGCAAGCGUUGUCCGGAUUUAUUGGGCGUAAAGCGAGUGCAGGCGGUCUUUUAAGUCUGAUGUGAAAGCCUUCGGCUUAACCGAAGAAGGGCAUCGGAAACUGGGAGACUUGAGUGCAGAAGAGGAGAGUGGAACUCCAUGUGUAGCGGUGAAAUGCGUAGAUAUAUGGAAGAACACCAGUGGCGAAGGCGGCUCUCUGGUCUGUAACUGACGCUGAGGCUCGAAAGCGUGGGUAGCAAACAGGAUUAGAUACCCUGGUAGUCCACGCCGUAAACGAUGAGUACUAAGUGUUGGAGGGUUUCCGCCCUUCAGUGCUGCAGCUAACGCAUUAAGUAUUCCGCCUGGGGAGUACGAC